AUUUCCAUUUAAGAUACAGUCUACAAGCCCAAUCCCGUCUGAUCUCAGAAGCUAAGCACAGUUCGGCCUGGUUAGUACUUGGAGGGGAGACCACCUAGGAAGACUAGGUACUGUAGGCA
ensembl:rRNA 5S_rRNA 5S ribosomal RNA